rnacentral:rRNA from 1 species
AGCGAACGCUGGCGGCGUGCCUAACACAUGCAAGUCGAACGUGAAAAGGGAAACCUGAGUAAAGUGGCGUACGGGUGAGUAACGCGUAGGUAAUCUACCCCAGAAUCUGGAAUAACCUGCCGAACGGCGGGCUACUACUGGAUAUAGCGAGGGAACUCGUAAGAGAGUUUUUCGGGAAAGGGAGCCCGCAAGGGCCUUCGUUCUGGGAUGAGCCUGCGUCUCAUUAGCUAGUUGGUAAGGUAACGGCUUACCAAGGCGAUGAUGAGUAGCUGGUCUGAGAGGAUGAUCAGACACACUGGAACUGAAACACGGUCCAGACUCCUACGGGAGGCAGCAGUGGGGAAUCUUGCGCAAUGGACGAAAGUCUGACGCAGCCACGCCGCGGGAGGGAAGAAGGCCUUCGGGUCGUAAAGAUCUGUCGGAUGGGACGAACAUCUUCAUAGUGAAUAGCUAUGAGGACUGACGGUACCAUCAAAGGAAGCACCGGCUAACUCCGUG